rnacentral:rRNA from 1 species
UACCCCGGCUACGAUCCUUCCGUGUCCGGUUAAGGCGGUUAUGGAUGAUCUGUUCGAGUACUUUGGCUCCAUGACCCUGCCGGCUCAGGUGCGUUUCGCUCUGGCUUGCUGUCUGAACUUGUGCGGUGCGGUGCAUGCGUCCGAUAUCGCCAUCCUCGGUAUCCAUCGUAACCCGCCGAUGAUCGACAAUGAUCGUAUCUCCGGUGUUUGCAAAAUUCCGCUGGCCAUCGCCUCCUGUCCGCUGGGCGCUGUUAAGCCGAACAAGGCUAUCAACUCUGCCGGUGAGGAAGUGAACUCGGUCAAGGUGAACGCCGAGCGAUGUAUGUUCUCACAGUGCU